rnacentral:lncRNA from 1 species
CUUCUCAAGCAUGUUGCAGUGCAACUUGGUCUCUAAGCCAUGAAAACCUCACCUAACAGUUAUUGGUCCAAUUUCUUAGUUAAGUCAGACCCACCGUAUAACCGUAGGAAUAAAGUCGUCAUUGGAUCCUCACCUAACAGUUAUUGGUGCCCAACCCCACCUUUACCCUACAACAUCUCAUGUCUAUAGAGAGGUCUAGCCUCCCGAUGCAACUUGACCACUGUGUCCAGCCGAGACAAAUCAACAUCAGAAAGGCCUUAGCAGCUCUACUACAGUGGAAGACCUAUUGACUUAAUAUUGGUUAAUCAG